rnacentral:tRNA from 1 species
GCCGGGGUGGCGGAACUGGCAGACGCGCUGGACUCAGGAUCCAGUGGGGUAUCCACUCCCCGUGUGGGUUCAAAUCCCACCCCCGGCACCA